rnacentral:rRNA from 1 species
UACGGAGGGUGCAAGCGUUGUUCGGAAUCAUUGGGCGUAAAGCGCGUGUAGGCGGCUUGGCAAGUCGGUUGUGAAAGCCCGGGGCCCAACCCCGGAACUGCAUCCGAAACUGCCUGGCUAGAGUCCCGGAGAGGAAGGCAGAAUUCCCGGUGUAGGGGUGAAAUCCGUAGAUAUCUGGAGGAAUACCGGUGGCGAAGGCGGCAUCCUGGACCGGCAUUGACGCUGAGGAGCGAAAGCCAGGGGAGCAAACGGG